rnacentral:rRNA from 1 species
UACGUAGGGGGGCAAGCGUUGUCCGGAAUCAUUGGGCGUAAAGAGCGUGUAGGCGGCCCGGUAAGUCCGCUGUGAAAGUCCAGGGCUCAACCCUGGGAUGCCGGUGGAUACUGUCGGGCUGGAGUCCGGAAGAGGCGAGUGGAAUCCUGGUGUAGCGGUGGAAUGCGCAGAUAUCAGGAAGAACACCGGUGGCGAAGGCGGCCCACUGGCUCGAUGACUGACGUGAGGUGCGAAAGCGUGGGGAGCAAACAGG